AAAAGAAACUAAACAUUUUAAAUCAGAAAUAUCACUUUUUAUCUUAGACUAGGCGUUUGAAACAUAUUUUUCUUUUCUUCCUUUUUUUUUUUUUUUUUUGAAAGCAAGAAUCUUACAAAGGAAUAUUUUUCCGGCAACAAAAAUAUAUCUACAUAUGGAAAUGACAUGUGUACCAAAAUGAUUGGUAUUAAUAAUCUAUGUCAUGAAGAGAGCCUACUUUUGUUGGCAGAUAUCGCUAUGAGCAAAUAUGAGGGCGGAUCGUACAGUGUUUUUUGAGUCCAGAAGCUUGGUGAGGUGCAGCAGAGGAGGCUAGUGUCACCGCACAGGCAUUUUAGAUGGUGACGACUCUCCGUAGGAAUAAACUAAGCUACCAACAAGACGAUAUGAUAAACUGGGCUCAUGGUUAAAUUCUCUCUCCAGCAUCGCACGGAAAGUUCCUCUGAGGCCAAAUCACUAAGGACCAAGUGCCAAUACCUGAUUAAAGCCGUUGCAGGCUGGCUGAGCCGAGAUACACGGUGGGAGAAAAGAGAAGAGGGAAAUGGAAUGACAGCUAGCUCUGCCUCUCAGCACCUCAUUCUGACUACUGAAGCUGCGUGUGAAUGGAAGCUCAUUAAGUCACUUGAUCUCACUGAUACAGAAGAAGAGGUGAAGACUCUUGGAGACCGCCUCAUUAAGUGUUACCAUUUCUGGGCAGAAGUGAAGGAUCAAAGCACCACCUGGUUCUGACAGGUAAGGGAGGGAAGAUCAAUUGCCCAUUAGGUCCUAUAAAAAUCAACUGGUUGGUAAAUGGGAGCAUCGCAUCCCUUGCUUCUGUGAGAAAGAGGGAUUGAUUGAAAGAUCAUCUCCCCAGUUGGUUCCCUGAAUUCUUAGAGGAGGUGAUGCAAUUUUUCUGUUGAUGUUGCCUGGAAUAAAGCAGGUAAUGCCAAAAGAUUUUCUAUUGUU
rnacentral:lncRNA from 12 species